CUGACGGAGCAACGCCGCGUGAGUGAAGAAGGUCUUCGGAUUGUAAAGCUCUGUCAACUAGGACGAAUGUGUGACUUGUGAAUAAUGAGUCAUAAUGACGGUACUAGAGAAGGAAGCCACGGCUAACUACGUGCCAGCAGCCGCGGUAAUACGUAGGUGGCGAGCGUUGUCCGGAAUUAUUGGGCGUAAAGAGCGCGUAGGCGGGUAGAUAAGUCUGUUUUAAAAGUGCGGGGCUCAACCCCGUGAUGGAAUGGAAACUGUUUAUCUUGAGUACCGGAGAGGAAAGUGGAAUUCCCAGUGUAGCGGUGAAAUGCGUAGAUAUUGGGAGGAACACCAGUGGCGAAGGCGACUUUCUGGACGGUGUCUGACGCUGAGGCGCGAAAGCCAGGGAAGUGAACGGGAUUAGAUACCCCGGUAAUCCUGGCCGUAAACGAUGGGUACUAGGUGUAGAGGGUAUCGACCCCUUCUGUGCCGGAGUUAACGCAAUAAGUACCCUGCCUGGGGAGUACGGCCGCAAGGUUG
rnacentral:rRNA from 1 species